rnacentral:rRNA from 1 species
UACGUGGGGAGCAAGCGUUGUUCGGAUUUACUGGGCGUAAAGGGCGCGUAGGCGGCAAUUCAAGUCAUCUGUGAAAUCUCCGGGCUUAACUCGGAACGGUCAGAUGAUACUGCUUUGCUAGAGUGCGGAAGGGGCAAUCGGAAUUCCUGGUGUAGCGGUGGAAUGCGCAGAUAUCAGGAGGAACACCGGUGGCGAAGGCGGAUCUCUGGGCCAUAACUGACGCUGAGGAGCGAAAGCAUGGGGAGCGAACAGG